ACCAAAACUUAAGUGUAGGUGAUC
rnacentral:siRNA from 1 species